rnacentral:rRNA from 1 species
CUCUAGUCUAGUAGUUUCCAUUGCUUUUCUAGGGUUAAGCCCUAGUCUUUAACAACAGACUUAUUAAACAACCUACAGGCGCUUUACGCCCAAUGAUUCCGGAUAACGCUUGCAUCCCCCGUAUUACCGCGGCUGCUGGCACGGAGUUAGCCGAUGCUUAUUCCUCAAGUACCGUCAGAACUUCUUUCUUGAGAAAAGAGGUUUACAGACCAAAAUCCUUCAUCCCUCACGCGGUAUUGCUCCGUCAGGCUUUCGCCCAUUGCGGAAAAUUCCACACUGCUGCCUCCCGGAGGAGUCUGGGCCGUGUCUCAGUCCCAGUGUGGCUGAUCGUUCUCUCAAACCAGCUACUGAUCGUGGCCUUGGUGAGCCAUUACCUCACCAACUAGCUAAUCAGGCGUGAGCUCAUCCUUAGGCAGCCUAAGCUAUUUCAUCUCUCGACAUAUGAAGAUUUAGCAGCCGUUUCCAGCAGUUAUUCUUCUCCUAAGGGCAGAUUCUCACGUAUUACGCACCCGUUCGCCACUAAAGUUAAAAACUUUCGUUCGACUUGCAUGUGUUAAGCAUACCGCCAGCGUUCAUCCUGAGCCAGGAUCAAACUCU